UUUCCCCCUGUCCCAUCUUGCAUCCCAUUUUAAUGCUGGCAGUCUCAUUUUUACUUUAUCUAGGCUUUUAGCUCUGCACUUAUAAAACAAGCACAGAAAACCCUGAACACUUUGGUGCCCUGAUCUCACCUUGGAACUGUGGCUUUUCAAGGCAAACUAAAGGGCAGAAGGGCAUUAAGCAAGCUUUUGCAAAGUACAUAUUGUACUGCCCUUUCGUUUCAAGUCAAAGAAGGAAGCAAAGGCAUCAUCUGUCAUGGGGGUGAAAAGCUGCCAGGUAUCUCAAAACCUCAUCUUUCAUCUUCAGUGAAGAAAACUGAAAUUAACCCUGCUGAUAUGAAGGCAGCUGGAAAAACUGAAAAGAGUCACAUAAGGAUCCUAUAAAAGAGGCAGCAGGAAUGUUGAUGUUAUUAUAUUGUCCUUGGUAUGUACCAUAGGAUGGAAUUCAGACAACUGCUUCUAAAUAUCAGUUUAUCAGUAUGGCAAUUGGUACAGUCUUGUUUUGUAUUUUAUUGCCCUGUAGUUAUUCAGAAGGAUUGAACAAGUCAGCCUAGAAAUCCCCUCAUGGGCUACAAAUAUAAUUCUGA
rnacentral:lncRNA from 1 species